ACCACACUCACGCAAAAGCUCAAUGGAAUCACUUGCAUAAAUAUCUUCGCAAAUGUUGAACUCGCGGAAAUUGAACUGCCAAAUGCAAAACUUAUCGGUUCCACAAGUUGGGAGAUUCCCAUUCUCAUCAGAGAACGUAAGACCCAAUUGAAUCAACUUCAACGUGUCGACAUUCUCUCUGAGGGUUCGGUAGUUAUACUCAUUGAUAUUUUUGAAAGAACCCACAGGACGAACAACCACGCCAGGGAACUCGGUAUCCAUCGCUAUGUAGUUAAAUUUGUCGACGAUUUCACGUAUUAGAGCAAAUUCUUCCUCCAAAUUAUGGUCCCACACCUCUCGGAUAUUAAUCGAUUCACCUUUCGGCAAAAUCGACAUACCUCGAAUAUCAACUGAACCAACAAAAUGGCGAAAACGGAAAACCCCCACCACCAAGAAAUGGGGAACUGUGA
rnacentral:misc_RNA from 1 species